GCUACGGCGGAUAUGGCUGCAGAGCGGCCGGCUGGGAUCUUAGAUAGGAGGGGUGGAUUUGCAAGGCCUAGAAUAGCUGGGGAGUGGUUUCCCCGCGGAAUCGGCCUCCCUGCCGCUCCUGCUUUGUACUGUGACGCUCAGCCUGUGAUGACUGGUGUGGAAUCCGCUGAGCCACCUUGGCCUAAGGAGACUUUACCACUCUGAGAUUGUAAAUCUGUAAAAUAGAGAUGUAGGAUUAGCCCAUACGGUAGUUGUGGUAAAUACUGUGAGACAAUAAGGGGCCUGGGACACAGCAUUCAAAUGGGAAUAAUGAAGGUCAAGACUGUGAUUCCUGUAUCUUUGACGCUCUCGGUAUAAGCACCGUCGUGGGCACAGGGCAGUGGCCUUUAUGCAGGAGUUUAAGAGGGAAUGAAGGAAUGAAUGGGCAAACUCUGGAGUUCCCAAGUAUUCUCUCCAGGAGCUGUUUCCAUUCUUUUCGUUUCCAGCAGAUGGUUUCUACCCUACUU
rnacentral:lncRNA from 10 species